rnacentral:rRNA from 1 species
GUAUACAAUCAUAUUAGUACGUAUGCAUUAGAUCCCAUCAGAACUCCGAAGUUAAGCGUGCUUAUCGAGAAUGAUACAAAAAACGAGCUUUGUUGCAGGAU